rnacentral:rRNA from 1 species
UACAGAGGUCUCAAGCGUUGUUCGGAUUCAUUGGGCGUAAAGGGAGCGUAGGUGGCGCCGUAAGUCAGGUGUGAAAUCUCGGGGCUCAACCCCGAAACUGCACUUGAUACUGCGGUGCUCGAGUACUGGAGAGGUCAGUGGAAUUGGGGGUGUAGCGGUGGAAUGCGUAGAGAUCCCCAAGAACACCAGUUGCGAAGGCGGCUGACUGGACACAUAUUGACGCUGAGGCUCGAAAGCAUGGGGAGCAAACAGG